AUGUUGGAUGCAGGGAGUGGCUUCUCUUGUGACAUUUGCAUCAACAAUCUCUUUGCUGUCGCCAACACGAAGCUUCUCAAGGAUUAUGCCCAGAUAGAUGGCAGAUUGCUUCAGCUGGCCUCCAUUGUCAAGCACUGGGCCAAACUGAGGGGUGUCAAUGAGACAUACCGCGGAACCCUCUCCAGCUAUGCAUAUGUGCUUAUGUGCAUCAGUUUCUUACAGCUGAGAGAGCCCAAGAUCCUUCCCUGUUUACAGGCUAUGGAGCCCACAUAUACCAUGGUUGUUGAUGACACUGAAUGCGCUUAUUUUGACGAAGUUCAUCAGCUUCGUGAUUUUGGGGCUGAAAACAAGGAGACCAUCGCGGAGUUACUCUGGGCAUUUUUCCACUACUGGGCAUUCCAGCACGAUUACAGGAAAGAUGUCAUCUCUAUCCGUAUGGGAAAGAUAAUCAGCAAGAAGGAGAAGAACUGGAUGACUCGCAUCGGAAACGACCGCCAUCUGAUCUGCAUCGAGGACCCUUUCGAGACCGGCCAUGACCUAGGCCGUGUAGUCGACAGGCAGACAAUCAGGAUCAUCAGGGAGGAGUUUGAGCGGGCCGCUGCCGUACUGCAGCAUGACGAUGACCCUUGCAUGACCCUUUUUGAGCCCUACCAUUAUGAGAAAUAA
rnacentral:rRNA from 1 species